rnacentral:rRNA from 1 species
AGCAGCCGCGGUAAUUCCAGCUCCAAUAGCGUAUAUUAAAGUUGUUGCAGCUAAAAAGCUCGUAGUUGAAUUUCGGGAUUAGUACGUUGGUCGUGCCUUCGGUACGUACUGGUGUUACUGAUUCCUACCUUCUGACGAACCAUCAUGUCAUUAAUUUGGUGUGGCGGGGAAUCAGGACUGUUACUUUGAAAAAAUUAGAGUGUUUAAAGCAGGCUCGCGCUUGAAUACAUUAGCAUGGAAUAAUGAAAUAGGACGUUGACCCUAUUUUGUUGGUUUCUAGGAUUGACGUAAUGAUUAAUAGGGAUAGUUGGGGGCAUUAGUAUUCAAUUGUCAGAGGUGAAAUUCUUGGAUUUAUUGAAGACUAACUACUGCGAAAGCAUUUGCCAAGGAUGUUUUCAUUAAUCAAGAACGAAAGUUAGGGGAUCGAAGACGAUCAGAUACCGUCGUAGUCUUAACCAUAAACUAUGCCGACUAGGGAUCGGAUGAUGUUAUUUUUAAUGACUCA